UUACCUACGUAAAUUCACUAAAUUAUUUCAAUAUAGUUUAAAUUAUUUUCGUAGCAAAGUCAAUAAUAAAUAAAACGAUCAUUAUCAGCAAAACACAAACCCUAUUAAAGUAAAUAAUUCAUCAUAUUAGAUGUACGUUUUAAAGUAUCUAUAUAACACUAAUCAACUAACUCAUUUACCCAGAAAAUGUUGUGGACACAAGAACAAUAUUAUAACUGAAUAACUGGUACAAUAAUAUAAUAUACUACUAUGUUUAUUGUAUGCAAUGGAAUCUGAUUAUAAUUUAAAUUGAUUUAUGGCAUCUUUUAAAAUAAUUAAAAAUUAUCUAAUCACUGAUUUGUGCCUGAGUAUAAUACAUUGUUUGUAGGGCUAUAUAGUUAUGUAAUUAUACACCCCAUAACAAUCGGUAAACAAUAUUUACACAUAAAAAAAAUUUUUUUUUGAAAUUAGAUUUUUAUUAUUUAUAAAAUUUAUUCAACAGACAAUAGUUAAUAAUUUUUAGUACCCAUCACCGUGUUUAAUACUCGUACAUAUUUAGUUUAAUAGAUAAUCGAUUGACAAUGUUAAUAUUGAUUAUUGAUAGACGCCAAUGUUUGCUAUAAAUAUUAGAUGCUUGUAUUUCAGUAUUUCACACGCUUGACAUGACAAUAUCACGUUUUGUAGUCUGCCAGGUUUUAAGAGUGCAAGUUGAUAUUAUUGAGAACUACUUAUGAGAACAUAAGAAUACGUGUUCCUUAAAUGUAUGUCAAUAAUUGAGCAAUUCUAGAUUAUAAGAAUAGUAUCGUUUCAUUUUAUUUGUAUUGUUAUUUGUAUAGAUUUAUUAAUAUAUAUUAUAAAGCUUGAAGCCAAAAUAUUAACGGAGUGAACAUUCGUCUGAUUUAAAUGUUUAAAAGUUGUAUGAAUGUGUAAUGUGUAUAAUGUGUGUAUGUCGAGACCUAGUUUACUACGCUAAUUAUCUUUUUUUUUUCUAAUUCGUUUAGUUUAUAUUAUAAUACCUAUUGAAAAAAUUAAGUUAAGUAAAGUUUAAAACCAUUUAACAUAUAAGUUCUAUAAAUAGGUUAGUUAACCUUAUGUUUUUACUUAAUUUUAAUUUAAAACUCGGUUUUGGCCUUGCAGCCACGUGUCUUCAAAAACAUUGGCUGAUGAGGUCAUUGCUACUCAUGGAUAAUAUUCACAACUGUAUAAGAUUGGUUUAAAAUUUUUUUUUUAAUAUUAAUAUUAUUAUUCAGAAAUACUCUAACAAGUUGUUUAACAAUUUUUUAACAAUUAGUCGUGACUAAUUAGCAUAAUUAUAUACACUUUUACUUAAGUAAGGUCGGUUACAGUAAUUUAUUAUUUUAUAACUUUUGGUGAUUCUGAGCAUAUCGAAGAAUGUAUAUAGGUUUUACAAAGAUGUAAUUUUUUUUUGUGUCUGCUAUCGCCUUUCG